rnacentral:rRNA from 1 species
AGCAGCCGCGGUAAUUCCAGCUCCAAUAGCGUAUAUUAAAGUUGUUGCAGUUAAAAAGCUCGUAGUUGAAUUUCGGGAUUUGUCAGUUGGUCGGGCUUCACUGUCCGUACUGACUUGAUGGAUUCUUACCUUCUGAAUAACCAGCAUGCUAUUUAGUUAGUGCGUUGGGGAAGCAGAUCUAUUACCUUGAAAAAAUUAGAGUGCUUAAAGCGGGCUAGUGCUUGAAUAGAUUAGCAUGGAAUAAUAAAAUAGGACGGCAUGGUUCUAUUUUGUUGGUUUCUGGGAUCACCGUAAUGAUUAAUAGGGAUAGUUGGGGGCAUUAGUAUUCAAUUGUCAGAGGUGAAAUUCUUGGAUUUAUUGAAGACUAACUUCUGCAAAAGCAUUUGCCAAGGAUGUUUUCAUUAAUCAAGAACGAAAGUUAGGGGAUCGAAGACGAUCAGAUACCGUCGUAGUCUUAACCAUAAACUAUGCCGACUGGGAAUCGGACGAAGUUAAUUUUAUAAUGACUCG